rnacentral:rRNA from 2 species
CGCCGUGGCGCGUGCUAUACAUGCAAGUCGAGCGGAUGAAGAGGAGCUUGCUCCUUGGAUUCAGCGGCGGACGGGUGAGUAACACGUGGGCAACCUGCCUGUAAGACUGGGAUAACUCCGGGAAACCGGGGCUAAUACCGGAUAACUUCUUUUCUCGCAUGAGGAGAGGUUGAAAGACGGUUUUGCUGUCACUUACAGAUGGGCCCGCGGCGCAUUAGCUAGUUGGUGGGGUAACGGCCUACCAAGGCGACGAUGCGUAGCCGACCUGAGAGGGUGAUCGGCCACACUGGGACUGAGACACGGCCCAGACUCCUACGGGAGGCAGCAGUAGGGAAUCUUCCGCAAUGGACGAAAGUCUGACGGAGCAACGCCGCGUGAGUGACGAAGGCCUUCGGGUCGUAAAACUCUGUUAUCAGGGAAGAACAAGUGCCGUUUAACUGACGGCACCUUGACGGUACCUGACCAGAAAGCCACGGCUAACUACGUGCCAGCAGCCGCGGUAAUACGUAGGUGGCAAGCGUUGUCCGGAAUUAUUGGGCGUAAAGCGCGCGCAGGCGGCUUCUUAAGUCUGAUGUGAAAGCCCACGGCUCAACCGUGGAGGGUCAUUGGAAACUGGGAGGCUUGAGUGCAGAAGAGAAGAGCGGAAUUCCACGUGUAGCGGUGAAAUGCGUAGAGAUGUGGAGGAACACCAGUGGCGAAGGCGGCUCUUUGGUCUGUAACUGACGCUGAGGCGCGAAAGCGUGGGGAGAGAACAGGAUUAGAUACCCUGGUAUUCCACGCCGUAAACGAUGAGUGCUAAGUGUUAGGGGGUUUCCGCCCCUUAGUGCUGCAGCAAACGCAUUAAGCACUCCGCCUGGGGAGUACGGCCGCAAGGCUGAAACUCACAGGAAUUGACCGGGGGCCCGCACAAGCGGUGGGAGCAUGUGGUUUAUUUCGAAGCAACGCGAAGGAACCAUACCAGGUCUUGACAUCCCGCUGACCGCUCUAGAAGAUAGAGCUUUUCCUCUUCGGGGACAGCCGAUUGACAGGUGGGUGCAUUGAUGGUCGUCAGCUCGUGUCGUGAGAUGUUGGGUUAAAUUCCCCGCAACGAGCCGCCACCCCCUUGAU